AGUGAACGCUGGCGGUAGGCCUAACACAUGCAAGUCGAACGGCAGCACAGAGGAGCUUGCUCCUUGGGUGGCGAGUGGCGGACGGGGGAGGAAUACAUCGGAAUCUACUCUGUCGUGGGGGAUAACGUAGGGAAACUUACGCUAAUACCGCAUACUAGCUACGGGUGAAAGCAGGGGACCUUCGGGACUUGCGCGAGUGAAUGACCCGAUGUCGGAUUAGCUAGGUGGCGGGGUAAAGGCCCACCAAGGCGACGAUCCGUAGCUGGUCUGAGAGGAUGAUCAGCCACACUGGAACUGAGACACGGUCCAGACUCCUACGGGAGGCAGCAGUGGGGAAUAUUGGACAAUGGGCGCAAGCCUGAUCCAGCCAUACCGCGUGGGUGAAGAAGGCCUUCGGGUUGUAAAGCCCUUUUGUUGGGAAAGAAAUCCAGCUGGCUAAUACCCGGUUGGGAUGACGGUACCCAAAGAAUAAGCACCGGCUAACUUCGUGCCAGCAGCCGCGGUAA
rnacentral:rRNA from 1 species